UACGGGGGGGAGCAAGCGUUGUUCGGAUUUACUGGGCGUAAAGGGCGCGUAGGCGGUUCGUACAGUCAGACGUGAAAUUCCUGGGCUCAACCUGGGGGCUGCGUUUGAUACGUGCGGACUUGAGUGCGGAAGAGGGUCGUGGAAUUCCCAGUGUAGAGGUGAAAUUCGUAGAUAUUGGGAAGAACACCGGUGGCGAAGGCGGCGACCUGGUCCGAUACUGACGCUGAGGCGCGAAAGCGUGGGGAGCAAACAGG
rnacentral:rRNA from 1 species